AAGGUGUUAGCUCAAUUGGAAGAGCGUUUGCUCUGCAAGCAAUAGGUUGCGGGUUCGAGUCCUUGCACACCUU
rnacentral:tRNA from 3 species